UACGAAGGGGGCUAGCGUUGCUCGGAGUCACUGGGCGUAAAGCGCACGUAGGCGGAUCAUUAAGUCGGGGGUGAAAUCCUGGAGCUCAACUCCAGAACUGCCUUCGAUACUGAAGAUCUCGAGUCCGGGAGAGGUGAGUGGAACUCCGAGUGUAGAGGUGAAAUUCGUAGAUAUUCGGAAGAACACCAGUGGCGAAGGCGGCUCACUGGCCCGGUACUAACGCUGAGGUGCGAAAGCGUGGGGAGCAAACAGG
rnacentral:rRNA from 1 species